rnacentral:misc_RNA from 1 species
GCUCUGCAUCUCGCCUGUCCUGCAUUAUUUAUCAGCCUCUGUACCUGUUGAAGUUCGUUAAGGAUGCUGUCAGAUUGCCAGACGAAGGUGACUGAAUGGCAUCAGUAACUAGGUGACUUUGGGAUGGUUUAGAAAUCAGGAUGUUGUCAAGAAAUUUGACGGUUUUCAUUUACAGAUGCCAGAUGGUCAACUACUGAGGAAAGGUCUGUUGUUGUUAACAAUGGAAGGGUCAUGAGAGAAUAGCUGAGAGCACAUGCAUUAUACAUCAACACAUUCCUUCUCUCGCCAUGUGAUACAAGCAAUAAUAUCAGUAAUUGUUGAUGCCGUUAUUGUGAUAAACGACGGCAACGUGAACUGGUAUAUAAAUGAUACAGAUGGACUGACGAAAUGAUGAUGACAAAUACCCUUGAUAAAACUGUUGAAACAAGUUAAAACAUGAUGUGAUCCUCAAAAGUGUUGCUAAAAAUAUAUAGCAUUUGGAAGUUUCGAAAAUGGAUGUGCCGUACAGGUGCCCGAAGUGUGGAGACGGGAAGGUGUUUCCUGUACUGCAUGAUUUAAAGAAGCAUUUGUCACAGGAACAUUCUUACGUGCCAAGUCCACGAAAGAGGAUACAAGUUUUCAAUGGAAACACAGACAAAUCUGGGCGUUUUUCGCCAUUGCUUCAGUCAUUCUUUGAUGAGGGAAAGCGUCUUGAAAAUGAACUUCUAAAAGCCAAAGAUCUUGAAAUGAACAAUAAACGGAAGAGAUAUGGAGAAAAGGCUCCAGGUAGCUUUAGCAAUAGCGAUAUGAUGUCAGUGAGGUCUGAAUUUGUGAAACCUUCAAUUGUAGCAUUCCAAGAUGAUCAUUUGAAGAAUACAUUAAAUAGUAUGACUCAAGAAGUGACUGUCAGUCGACAGAAGCAGUGGAAGACUGCUGAUGCUUUGAUUAAAGCUGAGGAAGUGUUGAUGGGUGUGGGACAGGCUGCCGAGACGCGGUGCACGGAACAGAAGAAUGUGAUUCAGAAGCUGAGUGCAGACCUUAAGGCAAAGGAGAAGGAUCUGAAGAAGUCGCAGGAAGAACUGGAUAGGCUCAAGAAGGAGCAGAACCAGCUGAUUGAAAGUUCUGAGAUCCUGUCCAGGAAGACUAAUGAUGAAAGUCAGAGGCUUAGUGAAGAACUAGAAGCAAAGGAAUCUCAGUUGAGCAGGAUUAAUGUCCAGCUGUCACGACUCCGGGACAAUGGUCUUGAGGACUGGGCAGCCAAGCAGAGUCGUGGUCCUUCUUGGAAGUCUCACAAGGAUGCUAAAAAUAUGAUGAUGGAGAGGAGCAUGAUGAGGAGGCGAGCUGAGAUGAACGUGCAUGGAUUGAGGGACAACAUGGAUCAGUUCGAGACUAGCAAGCCGAGGACUGAGGCACGGAGUUUUCAAACUCGAGAAUAUGAUCGGGAUUCCUCGUUUGAGAAGGCUGAGGAGGAGAUUGGUGAACUCGACAUCUUGAGUCAGGAACUGAGGAAGAUGCAGAGGGAUGCUGUGUUAAAGAUGCAGGAAAAAGAUAAGGAAUUGAUUCAUGCAAGGAAAAGAUCUGAAAAGUUGGAGAAAGACCGAUUGGUUCUUCUUCAUGAAAUGGAUGACUUGUUAUCCAAAGCAAAUAAUGAUAACGAGAGUCUAAAAUCAGAACUCCGCCGCAAAAAUGAAGAAUUGCAUGAAUUUAAUUCCGAUCUUGAAGAAGCUAAAAAGGAACAGACUAAACUUGUUGGAGAAACAUUUGAGUUGUAUCGUGAAGCAGAUAAAAAUAUUGCCAAGUUAAAAGAAAUGCUGGCCUUGAAAGAUUUUCAGCUGAAAGCAGCAAACGAGAAGCUCCAUCAAUUUCAGGUGGCUAACGAGCAUCUGUUGGCUGAGAGUGAGAGCAUUGUACAACACGCCGAUGAGAAAGGGAGUAUUAUGGACUCAAUGUUGAAGACAACGGAGAAGAGUUUACAAAUGAUGGAGAAGGAGUUAGAUGACACAAAACGUGAGAAGGAUAAACUUCUUGAAGAAACUGAAACACUGAAGCAAGAGGUUGUGGACAGGACGAAGUCAGUGGCUGAGUUGCAGCAGGAGGUUGUGAUGAAGGAAGAGGAACUUCAGAAAACCAACAGUGAUCUACAAACCCUCCAGACAUUCCUGCAGACGACUGCGGCCAAAGAGACAGUGGCGCGCCAGGAACUGGAGAAAUUCAUCAUGGAGUUGAUUGAGAGAGCAGGCAAGGCAGAGAAAGAGUUGCGGGCCCUGAAGCGAAGAGUCCGGGCAGCGAGUGAAGAGUCUCAGAGCCUGGGAUCGACACAUAUACCUAUGGCACUACACAACACACUCACAGAGCCGGUCCUCUACACCGACAAUCCCCAGGGCAUCCCAAAGGAAGUACAAGGGCCACCAACAGCAGCACCUAGAGGCAAGACCAAGCAUAGGACCAAGCCUCCUGCAGACAACCAUGCAGACAUAUCAGGACCAACUGAAGACAGUCAUUUACACACUGGAUCAGCUGAAGGAACAUCUCAUAAACCAAGUAACCCUGACUCCACUUCCAGAGAGCACCGGGGCAUGAGAUCUGGGAGGGUUCCAUUGCUAAAUGCCAAGGAUAAUGUAUCAGAUGGGACUCACCAACCUCAGAAGCAAUCAGUUCACAGUAGUGCAAUAGGUGGUCAGACUGCAGUGAUUAGACCAGGGUCAGUUGUCAUGGAUGGUUCUGAAGGUGCCCUAGAGAGACCUGCUGUGUCAGAGAUUGCUGUCCAGACAGAUGAGUUUCCAGGUGACCAGGACACCAGUAGGAAGACAAAUGAGGAGAAUUAUGCAGAAAGACUGGGUGAAAAGCCAAAAGAAAUUGUAGGCAAUGGUUCAAACAAACAUCAAACAAAUUUGGAUGAGAAAUUGUGUCGUGGUUACAAGAUAGCUGUAAAUGAAAAUAAUCAUUUAGUUUUGCAGUUAGAUAAAGACAAAGAACUGAGCAUUCAAAGAAAAGCAGCAAUUACAACAAAUGCAGAAAGAAUACAAAAAGAAGUUAAAUGUUCUGAAUGUUCCAAAUUAGAUAGUGUAUCUGAACAAGAAAGGGUUUCUACACUUCAAGGGAGUCCAGUUCCAAUCCAUUCCAGCACACCAAAGAAGCCAGUUAGAACAAAGAAGCCAAGGGCUGUAUGUAGACACUGUCUUCAUCUGACAUCCAGCACUGACACAGAUUCCGGGGACUCAGACAUGGAACCAAAGCCAAGACAUUCCAGUAGUAAUCCUGGUUCAGCUCGAGCUGCAGUCCUGGCAAGAAUUAUGUCAGGUCAAGGCCAAGGAGAGGAAAAGCUAUGGCAAGGCCUGGAAACAGAUGCCACACAGAGGAAUGCAAUACCAUCUUGGAGACAAGAUGUGAUUGCAAACAGGCAAAGAGACAGUGUUGCUGUGCGACCAAAAACAUUUGGUUUUGAUCGUAUUCGUAACCCAAGAACAAAUUUUGGUGGUACAGAUCCCAUUCCCCAUUCUCGGUCUACUGGAAGAGAAACAAGGCCCUCACAAAGGACAUAUGACAGUCCUGAAAGGUUGAGAACAGGUGCUUUGUCUAAAAGACCUGCAACAACACAUGAGGCAGAUAGGUUUGCUUCUGCCACUAGGCCAUCACUGGAAGACAGGAGAAGGAAAGAAAGUCGGGGUGAAUCUAUUUUCCAGGUUAGAAAGGAAAAAGAUGACAAUUCUCGGGACAAGUUGCUUUCAGACAGAAUUGACAGAUUGGAAGACAUGAUAACAGAGGCAAGGUCAAAAUCUGACGAGAAGCUUGGGAAGGUGCUACAUGAAGUGACAUCAGAUCUUGAUCAGAUCAAAAGUUCCUCAAGAGAAAAUAUACAGAGACUGAGAGAUUCUAUCAAGCCAAGACUGAAGCUGGAGGAGCCUAAGGUCAAGAACCCAGCAGGCAGAUCAGAAGGUGCAGGAGCUGCUCAACAGAGAGAUUCUAGACAUCUUGACAGUGCUACUGACCUGAAUCCACAUUCUCCAGACAGUUAUGUCGGUCUUCCUGCAAGUACACACAGAGACACUGUCAGGGAACAAGUGUCAAAGUCAGGCUCAACAUACAGAUCAUCAGAACCUGGGAUGGUAAUCAGGAACAAGUUCUAUGACCAGAACCAGACUGACCCCCCGAACUUUGGGCCUCUACCGAUAUCAGGAUCAGCAUCAAAGUUUGAUUCUUAUCCAUCCGGGUCACCAUCAUUCCAAUAUUCAUCAAACCCUCUGGCCGGCCUCCAUAGGCCACAGAUGUAUCCUAGGACAGAUCUUCAGCCUAACAUGGUUUCUAGUGGAGUUGGAGAAAGAGUGUCUCCUCAUGUGACGCCAUUGUUAAGUAAUAGACAGAAUUAUGAACACUUUCCUCGUAUGCCAUACAGUCAGUAUGUUGGUGGUUAUGCUGGGGUGUCUGGUUUCGGGUAUUCAGAUGCCAGUUUACAGCACUACUAUCAACCAGACAGACUGUUUCAAGGUGAAGCAGAGUACCACCACAACCAGUAUGGUCAUAGGACGGAAGAUGAGGUGCAUCUGCCUCCCUCACACAAGCUUCACAGACAGAUGCAGCCACAAGGUCAAGAAACAUUGAUGAAGGGUAUCAGUCAACCAAGAAGGAGCAAUAAAGAAUUGUCAAAAAAGAUGGCAGCAUUUGCUGAAAGUUCUGGAAAUACAUCAAUAGAUAGUGAGCUAUCAGUUGGUUUGGAGCUCUCCAUUGAUGAAAAUGGAAUCAUGUGGGAUGAAGAUCAAGCAGACACGACAUAUGCCUCAGAAGACCUGGACUCCUUCCGUCUGAGUCCGUCUGGCAGUGAGACUGCAGGUGAUGUGGACUCGUCCUUGCUUCUGUCAGGAUCCGGGUCCCAGCCUGCUCCUGCAAAAGGAGGAGAAGGUCACAGGCAGAUGCUGGAGGAGAUUGCUGAGACAGAUGAGGAGUCAUCUUAUCAGGGAUUACCAGCAGCUCCUUCUAAAGGUCAAAAUGGUGUCAGAAUUGGUAAAGGUCAUAUCGGUGGUAGAGGAACAACUAGUUCAGAGCUGAGGAGAGAUAAAGGAGGAAUGGUGAGCGAUAUCAUGUCAGUGAGGGACAAGAUGAUGAAGUACCUGGAAGAAGAUAAGGGAACAAAACCGAAAUUCCCAGACAGUGCCAGAAGCAGAAUACAGGAAAAACAGCAAGAUAGAAAAACUGCUCCGAGCAGGACAAAUGAAUUGAACAACAGUCAGGGAAAACCAUCUUUGGCUGUGUACGAAAAGGACAGGGCACUAGCAGAGAAUGGUAAUAAUAAAAUUCACAAUGAAUUAAAUUCUGAAGCUAACUUCAAGUCUAGGUAUGCUUUUGACUCUUCUGAUGAUCUGUCCUCCAGUAGCUGGUCGCCAGUAAAACCUUCUACAUCAAAGUUUGAAAGGGCAGAUUCUAUUGAUACUGACCAUGAUGUGAUUAUCAUGGCUCAGGAACCAUCAAAAGAAGAUUCAAAUAAGGCUACAGCGAGAAAAGUUCCAAAACACAAAGUCAUCGUCAGAGAUGAAAAUGAGGUGGUUGAAGAGAUGAUCCUACCCAGGUCUAGAUCACGCCCUAAAAUGUCUCUAGACGGUAUGUCAAGGAGGCUAGAUUUGCUGAGUUCAUCCUCUGAAUCUCUGAACCUGUCUCCAAGGAGGAAGCCUUUUGUCAAGAAGCGAGAGAUAAAAGAAGUGACUAAUCAGGACAAACUGGUCACUCCAGUUCCACAAGAUCAGCUGAUUUGUGAGCAGCCUAACACAGAACUCAUUUCUGAAGAGAGACAUUGUGACAAUCCUAAAGAUGUGCCAGCUGAGGACCAAUACUUGCAGUCAUCAUUUGCUGAUUCAGGAGUCUGUCCUGACACGAAACCUUUUAGACUGUUGGAUGAUGUUCAAGUUCCUCCACAGUCAGAUGCUAUAGACAGUUCUGAUGCAAUCAAGCAAGAUGAAGUGCAGUCCGAUGCUAUGGACAGCUCUGAUGCAAUCAAGCAAGAUGAAGUGCAGUCUGAUGCUUUGGACAGCCCUGAUGCAAUCAACCAUGAUGUAGUGCAAGUUCGACCUCAGUCAGAUGCUAUGGACAGCCCUGAUGCAGUCAAUGUCGAUGUAGCUGCAGAUGAUAGUAAGGACAACCUUGGAAGGAAAGGACAAAGUGUGACUUCCUCACUCAGUUUUGACUCUACGGAUGAUCUGGCCAAAUAUGACAACGUUCCUCUGAAACAGGCUCAGCCUCUUCGAGCCACAUUUGCUGAUGAUGUCACAACUGAUGAUGAGUUGUCAAGGGAUGACAUUCUGGACAAGCCUGGAGGUUCAGCUCCUCCCUACAGAGAGGAGAGCACAGACUUUGAUUUUGAAUCUGAUCUGGAACGAUUCAGUACACCUUUCAAGCUAACCAAGGGCCAUAAGAUCUCCAAGAAGAACAAGGUCCUCACCCACAAAAAGGCCCAGCCAAGGGGCGGAAGUGCUAGUCGCAAAAGUGUCCCAAAAUUUCAUGUUGAUGCGGACAGCAGUGAAGCAGCUUCUGAUACCAGCAGACUUGGUGGACAUCGGCAUGAGGCUGCUAAACGGCGCCGUGUAGCACUGUACUGCGUAUUCCGCUACCUGGAUACAAAGACACUCAGCCAGAUGGCGCUGGUGUGUCGGGAAUGGAAGCAUGUUUGUCGACAUCCUGAAUUGUGGAAGCGUGUAGUGUUGAAGAAUGAGAGAAUCUCAUCCUCAUUCCUGGUUACCAUAUCCCAAUGGUGUCAACGACUCCAACAUCUCACCCUAGAAGGAAGCUGACCAGCAUGGAUUGCAGUGCCGACAACGAAACAAUGAAGAAAGCCUAGAAGAAUAUCACCGAGCUACCAGGGCAUACCUUGAACCUGGUCUUGAAGAACUGUUGAAAAGUUGUCAAGAUAGUCUAAUUUCUCU